rnacentral:rRNA from 1 species
ACUGGGACUGAGACACGGCCCAGACUCCUACGGGAGGCAGCAGUGGGGAAUAUUGCACAAUGGGCGAAAGCCUGAUGCAGCGACGCCGCGUGAGGGAUGACGGCCUUCGGGUUGUAAACCUCUUUCAGCAGGGAAGAAGCGAAAGUGACGGUACCUGCAGAAGAAGCGCCGGCUAACUACGUGCCAGCAGCCGCGGUAAUACGUAGGGCGCAAGCGUUGUCCGGAAUUAUUGGGCGUAAAGAGCUCGUAGGCGGCUUGUCACGUCGGUUGUGAAAGCCCGGGGCUUAACCCCGGGUCUGCAGUCGAUACGGGCAGGCUAGAGUUCGGUAGGGGAGAUCGGAAUUCCUGGUGUAGCGGUGAAAUGCGCAGAUAUCAGGAGGAACACCGGUGGCGAAGGCGGAUCUCUGGGCCGAUACUGACGCUGAGGAGCGAAAGCGUGGGGAGCGAACAGGAUUAGAUACCCUGGUAGUCCACGCCGUAAACGGUGGGCACUAGGUGUGGGCAACAUUCCACGUUGUCCGUGCCGCAGCUAACGCAUUAAGUGCCCCGCCUGGGGAGUACGGCCG